GGGCAGAUUCCAACAAAAUAUUUUUAAUAUUAUGAGUUUUUCAAAGAAUGAGCCAAUUUUCUGAAAAAAAGCAAAAUUGUGAAUCACUAAAUGAUGAUGUUAUUUUGUCGAUAAAAAGAGGAAGAACAAAUAAUUAAUAAUUAUAUUAACAUUACUGUACUAACAUGCAUGGAGCAACAGGAACAGGAUCCAUGGAUCAGUUUUUACCUAAUACAAGAAGAGUAAAGAGAAAAGGGAGAGAUAAACAAUGACUUGCCACCAUAACCAUGCAGCAUCAGAGGAAUGUAGUUGGAUAUUAGAUAAAGUUUUAUAUCAGGUCAAUUGUCACAGUUGGAGGAUAAUUCUGAACUGAAUAGAACAAUAAUAGAGAAAAAUAGUAUCAGUAGUAAUAUCUGAAAUAAAUGAAAUGUAUAAAGACCUAGCAAAAAUGGUAGUGGAACAGGAUAGAAAAAUAGGAGAAAAAAAGGAGAGAUGGUGGAAGCUUAAAUUUUUGUUGCUGAAAUUAUUAUUAUUAUUAUUAAUAUUAUUAUUAGUCUACUCUUAUCGUCAAUUAUAAGGUACAAUAUUUGAUGGGAUUGAAUACAAUGUCAAGAGGACACUUCAUAAAGUCACUGAAGGUGUCAAACAACUAGA